CAGACAUGAAGUUAGGCCAGCAA
rnacentral:rRNA from 1 species